rnacentral:rRNA from 1 species
AUUGAACGCUGGCGGCAGGCUUAACACAUGCAAGUCGAGCGGGGGGUGAUGGUGCUUGCACUAUCACUUAGCGGCGGACGGGUGAGUAAUGCUUAGGAAUCUGCCUAUUAGUGGGGGACAACAUCUCGAAAGGGAUGCUAAUACCGCAUACGUCCUACGGGAGAAAGCAGGGGAUCACUUGUGACCUUGCGCUAAUAGAUGAGCCUAAGUCGGAUUAGCUAGUUGGUGGGGUAAAGGCCUACCAAGGCGACGAUCUGUAGCGGGUCUGAGAGGAGAAGCCGCCCAACUGGGACUGAGACACGGCCCAGACUCCUACGGGAGGGAGCAGUGGGGAAGAUUGGACAAGGGGGGGAACCCUGAUCCAGCCAUGCCGCGUGGGUGAAGAAGGCCUUAUGGUUGUAAAGCACUUUAAGCGAGGAGGAGGCUCUUUUGGUUAAUACCCAAGAUGAGUGGACGUUACUCGCAGAAUAAGCACCGGCUAACUCUGUGCCAGCAGCCGCCGUAA